rnacentral:rRNA from 1 species
GACGUAGGGCGCAAGCGUUGUCCGGAAUUAUUGGGCGUAAAGAGCUCGUAGGUGGCGUGUCGCGUCUGCCGUGAAAAGCCCCAUGGCUUAACUGUGGGUCUGCGGUGGAUACGGGCAGGCUGGAGGCUGGUAGGGGCAAGCGGAAUUCCAGGUGUAGCGGUGAAAUGCGUAGAUAUCUGGAGGAACACCGGUGGCGAAGGCGGCAUCCUGGACCGAUACUGACGCUGAGGAGCGAAAGCCAGGGGGAGCAAACGGG